GUUGAACGCUGGCGGCAGGCCUAACACAUGCAAGUCGGGCGGUAACAGGGGAAGCUUGCUUCUCGCUGACGAGCGGCGGACGGGUGAGUAAUGUAUGGGGAUCUGCCCGAUAGAGGGGGAUAACUACUGGAAACGGUAGCUAAUCCCGCAUAAUCUCUCAGGAGCAAAGCAGGGGAACUUCGGUCCUUGCGCUAUCGGAUGAACCCAUAUGGGAUUAGCUAGUAGGUGGGG
rnacentral:rRNA from 1 species